UCACUGCUGACCAGUGCCAAACAGGACGAAACAGCUGUACAGUGA
rnacentral:hammerhead_ribozyme from 1 species